rnacentral:rRNA from 1 species
GACGAACGCUGGCGGCGUGCUUAACACAUGCAAGUCGAACGGAAAGGCCCUGCUUUUGUGGGGUGCUCGAGUGGCGAACGGGUGAGUAACACGUGAGUAACCUGCCCUUGACUUUGGGAUAACUUCAGGAAACUGGGGCUAAUACCGGAUAGGAGCUCCUGCUGCAUGGUGGGGGUUGGAAAGUUUCGGCGGUUGGGGAUGGACUCGCGGCUUAUCAGCUUGUUGGUGGGGUAGUGGCUUACCAAGGCUUUGACGGGUAGCCGGCCUGAGAGGGUGACCGGCCACAUUGGGACUGAGAUACGGCCCAGACUCCUACGGGAGGCAGCAGUGGGGAAUAUUGCACAAUGGGCGGGAGCCUGAUGCAGCAACGCCGCGUGCGGGAUGACGUCCUUCGGGUUGUAAACCGCUUUCUCCUGUGACGAAGCGUGAGUGACGGUAAUGGGUAAAGAAGCACCGGCUAACUACGUG